GUUUGGCUAUCAGUCCGACAUGGUGCACUUUCCUUGGUGCCUCCGCCGCCUACGUGACCGACGAACUGGCUACCCGCGGCGUGGGUAAGGUGACAAACUGCUUCGGCAAUUUGUGUUAUAGACCCCGGCGUCGGACAAUGGUUUGGCCAGCGACGUCGAGCUUGCGGCGCCCGCUCCUUGUGGGCUCGCAUGUUGGCUAGCUUGGCUGCGCCGAUGCUUGCACUGGACAACGCAGUACAGGUGACGGUUGUGUCUUGUCUCUAGUUGGCCUCUUUGCGAGUUUGGCGCCUAUAGUCUGUGGUGUACUUGUGGGUAGACUAUCCCGAUCCCUCUCUUGAAACACGGACCAAGGAGUCUAACAUGUGCGGCGAGUCAAUGGGAUUCUACGAAAACCAAAGGCGCAGUGAAAAGUAAAGGCCUGCUUCUUCGUAGGCUGAGGUGGGAUCUCGUGCAUCGCGAUUGGCGAGCGCACCACCGGCCGCGUCCUAUCUGUCUCUGUCAGUGGGGCGGCGCAAGAGCGUACACGUUGGGACCCGAAAGAUGGUGAACUUAUGCUUGCGCAGCUCGAAGUCAGUGGAAACACUGAUGGAGGAGCGGCAGCGUUUCUGACGUGCAAAUCGAUCGUCAAACGUGAGUAUAGGGCGAAAGACUAAUCCGAACCAAUCUAGUAGCUGGUUCCCUCCGAAGUUUCCCUCAGGAUAGCUGGCACUCGGAAACAGUUUUAUCCGUAAAGCGAAUGAUUAGAGGCAUUGGGGUCGAAACGACCUCGACCUAUUCUCCAAACUUUAAAUGGGUAAGAUGCUUCGUCUCGCUUAAUUGGAGGCGGGCUUCACCUCUCUAUAAACGUGAAUGUGAGUGCCCAGUGGGCCAUUUUUGGUAAGCAGAACUGGCGCUGUGGGAUGAAACCAAACGCGCGGUUAAGGCGCCCAAUGUCGGACGUCUCAUUGAGACACCACAAAAGGUGUUGGUCGAUACUGACAGCAGGACGGUGGCCAUGGAAGUCGGAACCCGCUAAGGAGUGUGUAACAACUCACCUGCGCGAAUCAACAGCAGCGCCUGAAAAUGGAUGGCGCUGGAGCGUCGGGCCUAUACCGUGCCGUUGGGGCGAAGCAGACAAAUAAUCUGUGUGGAUGUCCCAACGAGUAGGAGGGUCGCCGUGGUGAGCGCAGAAGGUGCGGCCGUGAGGCCGGCUGGAGCCCGCCACGGGCGCAGAUCUUGGUGGUAGUAGCAAUUACUCAAGUGAGAACCUUGAGGACCUGAAAGUGGAGAAGGGUUCCAUGUGAAACAGCAGUUGAACAUGGGUCAGGCGGUCCCUAAGCGAUCGGGUAACUCCGUACCUAGACGAGGGUGACAACUAUCACUUAACUAAAUGUGACGUGUUAUAGCCCUCCGGAGCGAAAGGGAAUCGUGUUAAUAUUCACGACCCUUACCGUGGAAUCGCCCCCUUUCGGGGGGCAAGUGCGGUAACGCAAACGAACACAGAGACGUGUCGGCUGGAGCCCCGGGAAAGAGUUCUCUUUUCUUUGUAAAGGAGCGUACCCCCUGGAAUCGGCUUGUCCGGAGAUAGGGGCGUGGCUUCCGUAAAGCAGCGCGGGUCUUGCGCUGUCCGGUGCAACUCUAGUCGGCCCUUGAAAAUCUGUGGGAGACAGUGUGAUUUUCACGGUAGGCCGUACCCAUAUCUCCGCAGCAGGUCUCCAAGGUGAACAGCCUCUAGUCCUAGAACAAUGUAGGUAAGUGGAAGUCGGCAAAAUGGAUCCGUAACUUCGGGAAAAGGAUUGGCUGCUGAGGGCUGGGUCGGAUGGCUGGCGUAAGAAGCUGUUCCGGUUUUUGGUGAGGACUGGGCGAGGCUUUCGGCCUUAUACUCGGACCCAUGCCGAAGAAGACCAGAGGCAGUAGACGAGCGCUCAGCUUGUCGGCUUGUCGUGUUUGCGGCGCGCGCAGCUUCGUCCGGCAACAAACAAGCCAACUCAGAACUCAGGCACGGACUAGGGGAAUCCGACUGUCUAAAUUAAAACAAAAGCAUUUGCGAUGGCUGUUGCUCGGAUGUUGAGACGCAAUGUGAUUUCUGCCCAGUGCUCUGAAAUGUCAAAGUGAAGAAAUUCAAUCAAGCGCGGUAAACGGCGGCUGAGUAAACUAUGACUCUGCUUAAGGUAUGCCCAAAGUGCCUCGUCAAUCUAAUUAGUGAACGCGCUAUGAAUGGCAUUAAAAACGAGAUUCCCACUGUCCCUAUCUAAUCUACUAUCCUAGGCGAAACCACAGCCAAGGGAACGGGCUUGGCGCAGAAUCAGCGGGAAAGAAAGACCCUGUUGAGCUUGACUCUAGUUCCGACUUUGUGAAGAGACAUGAGAGGUGUAGUAUAGGUGGGAGCGUACAGGCGACUUUGAAAUACCAACUACUUUUAUCGUUUCUUUACUUAUUCAGUGAAGCGGGAGCGGCCUUCACGGGCCUCGUUUCUGGGUGUUAAACGGCUGGCCCUCGCGGCCGGCCGUGACCUGCUCUGAAGACAGUGUCAGGCGGGGAGUUUGACUGGGGCGGGUACAUCUGUCAAAAGGUAACGCAGGUGUCCCAAGAUGAGCUCAGUCAGGACAGAAACCUGGCGUAGAGCAAAAGGGGCAAAAGCUCAUUUGAUUUUGAUUUUCAGUACGAAUACAGACCGUGAAAGCGCGGCCUAUCGAUCCCUUUGAUUAAUCAGAGUUUGAUGCAAGGGGUGUCAGAAAAGUUACGGCACAGGGAUAACUGGCUUGUGGCGGCCAAGCGUUCAUAGCGACGUCGCUUUUUGAUCCUUCCGAUGUCGGCUCUUCCUAUCAUUGUGAAGCAGAAUUCCACCAAGCGCGUUGGAUUGUUUCACGUCACACACCUAAUUUAGGGACCACUGUGACGCUGGUUUAUAGACCGUCGUGAAGACAGUUAUGUUUAUUUACCGCUACUGAAUGUCUUUGUCUAGUUGCUAUGGUAACCUGCUUAGUAACGAGAGGCAACCCGCAGGUUCAGACAUUUGGUUUAUGUGCUUGGUCGAAAGACCAAUGGUGGCGAAGCUACCAUCUGAGGGAUUAAGACUGAAAGCCUCUUAAGUCUGAAUCCCGCCACAGAAAUGCAACGAUACUAUCGGUGCCCCUACGCCGGGAGGCAACGAUAUACUCGGCCCGAAAUCCGAUUUCGGCGGCCGAGACUGGCUAAAGCCACUGCGAUACUGGCCACACCGCUCGCUGUCUUGAAAUUUGGCAGUGGAGGCACAGACACGAUACCACUUGAUGAGGAAGACGUAGGGGUUCUAUAUCGUUUGUAGACGACUUAGAUCUCGUCGCGGGUGUGCCGUACUUAGUUGAGCAGUUCUUCACUGCGAUCUAUUGAGGCUAAGCCUUUUGACGGGGAGAUAUGU
rfam:Macrostomum lignano unitig_21325, whole genome shotgun sequence.